UUAGGAGGCCUAGAGGAAGAAAUCCAAUGUGUAUUCGCAGGCCACAGACAUCAUGGACAGUGAUGUGCAAGAUUCCCCCACGCUACCUUGCUAACAUGCCACCCUAAAUCCUGCCCAGAAGGGACCACUUCUAGAUGUGAGAGGGCAGUUCAGUCCCCAUGCCCGUUUAGUCCCUUGCUUCU
rnacentral:sRNA from 1 species